UUGUCUUGAUAAACAUCAAAAAUAAAAACAAUCAUCUAAACUUAAACGUAAAAGAUAAUGUAUACGGUUACUUCCUAUUGAUUGCUACGCACAUCAAGCCUUGCCGCGAAACCGCCGUUCCACGCUUUGGUCUAUUUCUUUACCAUCCAAGCAAAGUAUCGUCAGUGAUUUUAUAGGAUAGAUAAAUGCCAAACUGUACCUAAAACUCGCUAGACUUAUUUUAGUACUGGUAGUCACUUUCUGGUAGGUUAAAAUCGUUACGAUCGAACAAAAACGAAAGGGUUUGCUCAGAACGGUCCCCAAAAAUAUUUAACAGUUACGUCGAAUAUAAGCUACGCCGCACGAUGUCGGUGCAGAUACAGGACAAAGUACUUAAUACUUAUAAUCCCGUCGACCUAACUAUAGAAUAAGCCAACUCACGAACCUCCACGUAUAAACACGAUUAAAGCGCUUAAAACUAUGCAGUCACAUAAAAAUAAUUAAAUAAAGCAAUGAUACAAUAAAUGGUGUUACGCAUAAAAGUACUGUACGAACCAUAAUAAUAUUAUAGUGCAAGACAUUUUGCUUGCAAAUGAAAAUGACGGAACUCUGUAAACCCACAAUAAAACCCAAAACAUAUAUUUCAAAUACAGUGAAAUGUAUAAGUUAAAACCGGGCAUAAUUUUAUGCGGUUUCCGUCAACCAAUAGCAAGUUUUGCUUGCGAAAUUGCAUUAAUAAUUCAUGAGUAGGUCGACUAAAACGUUUGCCUAUUAGACCUGUAUGCUCCAACGCCUGGAGCAACAACAGCUGCAGAUACAGUUUCCACACGUUUUCAUACAGGCUAGGUUAUCAUGAAUGCAACAAGUGCGUUGGGAAUAGGUACAGAUGUAAACACAUUGGAUACAACGGUGGCCAGGAACCAGAAUGGACUACCAGCACUCACGACAGCAGUAACAACUGGUGUGGUGCUCUUUAUUGUUGUAUUUGCUCUGCUGGUUGGAGCGGCACUGUAUUUCCAAUUGCGCAAGCAGCGAGAGAUGGCGGCAGUAUUUUCCGAACAUGCGGAUCCGUCUGUUCAGUCGAAACUUAAGCAUGAGAAUGAAAAUAACACUGAAAACACUGCGAAACUGCAAGUGCAAAGCUUGUAUCCAAAACUAGAACCUCAAAACAAUGUUGUAAGCGGACGAAACGUUAAAAAUGACCAAAAAUGUGAUCUGAAAACAUAAAAACCGGAAACUGAUAACCCACUGCUGUUUUUUUUUGCAUUCCGUACAGAACAUGGAUGAACCAGCUUUUUAAUUUUUAAGCAGAGCCGAAAACAGGUUGCAGAGAAUCGUUGUAGCGCGUUAUAUAUUUUCACUUCUUACGUAUAAUAGCUUACUGGGAUAUACAUUACAUUAAAACAUAUUUCCCUUUGUCAGGAACCAACAAUAAAAAUCAGCAUUGCAAUA